CUCCAAUUUGCAACAUUAUGUUUAAGACCGUACUUUUUAGGAUCAUUUCUAUAGUACGCGUCCCGUCUUUGUUCUCUAACAUAGACAACAUUCACAACCACGAUGAUGAGUGGUAGUGCUUUCUUCUGAGCGGGAAGCAGAUUACUAAGGUUGCUUUUACAGUGACGUUAGUAAUUAUUGAUGACCGUUCCCUUUCGCUCUUCGGAGCAAUGGGAGGAAGAAGGCGCAUUCAGAGUGGUUUCAUUUUUACUUCAAAUUUAAUAAAAGUGGUAGGCAAUACGUUAGAA